rnacentral:rRNA from 1 species
UGGUCAAGUUAUUAAGGGUGCAGGGCGGAUGCCUUGGCACUAGGAGCCGAUGAAGGACGUGAUAAGCUGCGAUAAGCUUCGGGGAGUUGCACGUAAACUUUGAUCCGAAGAUUUCCGAAUGAGGAAACUCACUUAGAGUAAUGUCUAAGUAUCAUUAAGUGAAUACAUAGCUUAAUGAGGGGAACUCAGGGAACUGAAACAUCUAAGUACCUGAAGGAAGAGAAAGAAAUUCGAUUCCGUAAGUAGCGGCGAGCGAACGCGGAUUAGCCCAAACCAAUAAAGUUUUCUUUAUUGGGGUUGCGGACAUAUCAUAACGAAGAGGUAUCGUAAUUGAAGAGGUUUGGAAAGACCCACCACAGAAGGUAAUAGUCCUGUAUGUUAAACGAGAAGACUUCAGAUAUGAUCCAGAGUACCACGGGACACGUGAAACCCUGUGGGAAGCAGGAGGGACCACCCUCCAAGGCUAAAUACUACCUAGUGACCGAUAGCGUAUAGUACCGUGAGGGAAAGGUGAAAAGAACCCCGGGAGGGGAGUGAAAUAGAACCUGAAACCCUGCACUUACAAGCUGUGGAAGCACAUUUCUUGUGUGACCGCGUACUUUUUGUAGAACGGGCCAACGAGUUACGUUAAGUAGCAAGGUUAAGCACUUAAGGUGCGGAGCCGUAGCGAAAGCGAGUUUUAACUGAGCGUUCAGUUACUUGACGUAGACCCGAAACCGGGCGACCUACCCAUGAGCAGGAUGAAGCGAAAGUAAAAUUUCGUGGAGGUCCGAACCCACGAGCGUUGAAAAGCUCGGGGAUGACUUGUGGGUAGCGGUGAAAUUCCAAUCGAGCCCGGAGAUAGCUGGUUCUCCCCGAAAUAGCUUUAGGGCUAGCCUCAAGGUGAGAGAUACGGAGGUAGAGCACUGAAUGUCCUAGGGGGUAUUGCACCUACCGAAGACUAUUAAACUCCGAAUGCCGUCAUCUUAUACUUGGGAGUCAGACUGUGGGUGAUAAGAUUCAUAGUCGAAAGGGCAACAGCCCAGAUCGUCAGCUAAGGUCCCUAAAUGUAAGUUAAGUGGUAAAGGAUGUGGGAUUGCACAGACAACCAGGAUGUUGGCUUAGAAGCAGCCACUCAUUCAAAGAGUGCGUAAUAGCUCACUGGUCGAGUGAUCCUGCGCCGAAGAUUUCCGGGGCUAAAACUUACUACCGAAGCUACGGCAUCAGUAAUGAUGGGUAGGGGAGCUUCCCAUACGGGUUGAAGCAUGACCGUAAGGACAUGUGGACAGUAUGGGAGUGAGAAUGUUGGCAUGAGUAGCGAGAUGUGGGUGAGAAUCCCACAGGCCGUAAACCCAAGGUUUCCAGGGGAAGGUUCGUCCGCCCUGGGUUAGUCGGGACCUAAGCUGAGGCCGAAAGGCGUAGGUGAUGGACAACAGGUUGAUAUUCCUGUACUACCGAUAACCGUUUGAGAGAAGGGAUGACACAGUAGGAUAAGCUAAGCACACUGUUGGUUAUGUGUGCCCAAGCAUUGAGGCAGUCAAAGUAGGCAAAUCCGCUUUGAUAAUGCUGGGAUGUGAUGGGGAGCGAAAUUUAGUAGCGAAGUAGCUGAUUUCACACUGUCAAGAAAAGUCUCUAUCGAGGUUAAAGGUACCCGUACCGCAAACCGACACAGGUGGGUGAGGAGAGUAUCCUAAGGCCAGCGAGAGAACUGUUGUUAAGGAACUCGGCAAAAUGACCCCGUAACUUAGGGAUAAGGGGUGCCACCAUCAGGUGGCCGCAGAGAAUAGGCCCAAGCGACUGUUUACCAAAAACAUAGGUUUCUGCUAAGUCGCAAGACGAUGUAUAGGAGCUGACGCCUGCCCGGUGCUGGAAGGUUAAGGGGAUCUGUUAGAGCAAUCGAAGCAGUGAACUUAAGCCCCAGUAAACGGCGGCCGUAACUAUAACGGUCCUAAGGUAGCGAAAUUCCUUGUCGGGUAAGUUCCGACCCGCACGAAAGGCGUAACGAUUUGGGCACUGUCUCAACAACAGACUCGGUGAAAUUGUAAUUCCGGUGAAGAUGCCGGAUACCUGCGACAGGACGGAAAGACCCCAUGGAGCUUUACUGUAGCUUGACAUUGGGUUUUGGUACUACAUGUACAGGAUAGGUGGGAGGCUUUGAAACCAGGACGCCAGUUUUGGCGGAGCCAUCCUUGGGAUACCACCCUUGUAGUACUGGGACUCUAACCAUAGGCCAUGAAUCUGGUCUUGGGACACUGUCAGGCGGGCAGUUUGACUGGGGCGGUCGCCUCCCAAAAGGUAACGGAGGCGCUCAAAGGUUCUCUCAGUACGGUCGGAAAUCGUACGUAGAGUGUAAAGGCAAAAGAGAGCUUGAUUGCAAGACAUACAGGUCGAGCAAGGAUGAAAAUCGGACUUAGUGAUCCGGUGGUUCUGCGUGGAAGGGCCAUCGCUCAACGGAUAAAAGCUACCCUGGGGAUAACAGGCUUAUCUCCCCAAGAGUCCACAUCGACGGGGAGGUUUGGCACCUCGAUGUCGGCUCAUCACAUCCUGGGGCUGUAGUAGGUCCCAAGGGUUGGGCUGUUCGCCCAUUAAAGUGGUACGCGAGCUGGGUUCAGAACGUCGUGAGACAGUUCGGUCCCUAUCCGUCGCAGGCGUAGGAAAUUUGAGAAGACCUGUCCUUAGUACGAGAGGACCGGGAUGGACGUACCUCUGGUGUACCAGUUGUCCUGCCAAGGGCAUGGCUGGGUAGCUAUGUACGGAAUGGAUAAGCGCUGAAAGCAUCUAAGCGCGAAGCCAACUUCAAGAUAAGAUUUCCCACCGCAAGGGUAAGACCCCAGAAAGACUAUCUGGUUGAUAGGUCGAAGGUGUAAGUGCAGCAAUGUAUUUAGCUUAUCGAUACUAAUAGGUCGAGGACUUGACCAAU